GCAUAUCAAUAAGCGGAGGAAAAGAAACCAACAGGGAUUGCCCUAGUAACGGCGAGUGAAGCGGCAACAGCUCAGAUUUGAAAUCUGGCUCUCUUGGGAGCCCGAGUUGUAAUUUUAAGAGGGUGCUUCGGCAUUGGCCUUGGUCUAAGUUCUUUGGAACAAGACGUCACAGAGGGUGAGAAUCCCGUACGUGGCCUAUGGUCUUUGCCAUGUGAAGCCCCUUCGACGAGUCGAGUUGUUUGGGA
rnacentral:misc_RNA from 1 species